rnacentral:rRNA from 1 species
GUGGCGGACGGGUGAGUAACGCGUGAGCAACCUGCCUUUCAGAGGGGGAUAACGUUUGGAAACGAACGCUAAUACCGCAUGAUAUUAUUGAGCUGCAUGGCUUGAUAAUCAAAGGAGUAAUCCGCUGAAAGAUGGGCUCGCGUCCGAUUAGGUAGUUGGCGGGGCAACGGCCCACCAAGCCGACGAUCGGUAGCCGGACUGAGAGGUUGAACGGCCACAUUGGGACUGAGACACGGCCCAGACUCCUACGGGAGGCAGCAGUGAGGGAUAUUGGUCAAUGGGGGAAACCCUGAACCAGCAACGCCGCGUGAGGGAAGACGGUUUUCGGAUUGUAAACCUCUGUCCUCUGUGAAGAUAAUGACGGUAGCAGAGGAGGAAGCUCCGGCUAACUACGUGCCAGCAGCCGCGGUAAUACGUAGGGAGCAAGCGUUGUCCGGAUUUACUGGGUGUAAAGGGUGCGUAGGCGGCUUUGCAAGUCAGAAGUGAAAUCCAUGGGCUUAACCCAUGAACUGCUUUUGAAACUGCAGAGCUUGAGUGGAGUAGAGGUAGGCGGAAUUCCCGGUGUAGCGGUGAAAUGCGUAGAGAUCGGGAGGAACACCAGUGGCGAAGGCGGCCUGCUGGGCUCUAACUGACGCUGAGGCACGAAAGCGUGGGUAGCAAACAGGAUUAGAUACCCUGGUAGUCCACGCUGUAAACGAUGAUUACUAGGUGUGGGUGGACUGACCCCAUCCGUGCCGG